rnacentral:rRNA from 1 species
GACAGAGGGUGCAAACGUUGUUCGGAAUUACUGGGCGUAAAGCGUGUGUAGGCGGCUAUGUAAGUCGGAUGUGAAAGCCCCGGGCUCAACCCGGGAAGUGCACUCGAUACUGCGUAGCUAGAGUAUCGGAGAGGUUGGUGGAAUUCUCGGUGUAGAGGUGAAAUUCAUAGAUAUCGAGAGGAACACCUGUGGCGAAGGCGGCCAACUGGACGAAUACUGACGCUGAGACACGAAAGCGUGGGGAGCAAACAGG